rnacentral:rRNA from 1 species
CCUACGGGAGGCUGCAGUGGGGAAUAUUGGACAAUGGGGGGAACCCUGAUCCAGCCAUGCCGCGUGUGUGAAGAAGGCCCUCGGGUUGUAAAGCACUUUCAGUGAGGAAGAACGCCUGGUGGUUAAUACCCAUCAGGAAAGACAUCACUCACAGAAGAAGCACCGGCUAACUCCGUGCCAGCAGCCGCGGUAAUACGGAGGGUGCGAGCAUUAAUCGGAAUUACUGGGCGUAAAGCGCGCGUAGGUGGCUUGAUAAGCCGGUUGUGAAAGCCCCGGGCUCAACCUGGGAACGGCAUCCGGAACUGUCAAGCUAGAGUGCAGGAGAGGAAGGUAGAAUUCCCGGUGUAGCGGUGAAAUGCGUAGAGAUCGGGAGGAAUACCAGUGGCGAAGGCGGCCUUCUGGACUGACACUGACACUGAGGUGCGAAAGCGUGGGUAGCAAACAGGAUUAGAUACCCGGGUAGUC